UGGGGAAUUAUUGCGCAAUGGGGGGAACCCUGACGCAGCCAUGCCGCGUGAAUGAAGAAGGCCUUCGGGUUGUAAAGUUCUUUCGGUAUUGAGGAAGGUUGAUGUGUUAAUAGCACAUCAAAUUGACGUUAAAUACAGAAGAAGCACCGGCUAACUCCGUGCCAGCAGCCGCGGUAAUACGGAGGGUGCGAGCGUUAAUCGGAAUAACUGGGCGUAAAGGGCACGCAGGCGGUUAUUUAAGUGAGGUGUGAAAGCCCCGGGCUUAACCUGGGAAUUGCAUUUCAGACUGGGUAACUAGAGUACUUUAGGGAGGGGUAGAAUUCCACGUGUAGCGGUGAAAUGCGUAGAGAUGUGGAGGAAUACCGAAGGCGAAGGCAGCCCCUUGGGAAUGUACUGACGCUCAUGUGCGAAAGCGUGGGGAGCAAACAGGAUUAGAUACCCUGGUAGUCCACGCUGUAAACGCUGUCGAUUUGGGGGUUGGGGUUUAACUCUGGCGCCCGUAGCUAACGUGAUAAAUCGACCGCCUGGGGAGUACGGCCGCAAGGUUA
rnacentral:rRNA from 1 species